GAUGAACGCUGGCGGCGUGCCUAAUACAUGCAAGUAGAACGCUGAAGCUUGGUGCUUGCACCGAGCGGAUGAGUUGCGAACGGGUGAGUAACGCGUAGGUAACCUGCCUCUUAGCGGGGGAUAACUAUUGGAAACGAUAGCUAAUACCGCAUAAAAGUCGAUAUCGCAUGAUAUUGAUUUGAAAGGUGCAAUUGCAUCACUAAGAGAUGGACCUGCGUUGUAUUAGCUAGUUGGUGAGGUAACGGCUCACCAAGGCGACGAUACAUAGCCGACCUGAGAGGGUGAUCGGCCACACUGGGACUGAGACACGGCCCAGACUCCUACGGGAGGCAGCAGUAGGGAAUCUUCGGCAAUGGGGGCAACCCUGACCGAGCAACGCCGCGUGAGUGAAGAAGGUUUUCGGAUCGUAAAGCUCUGUUGUAAGAGAAGAACGAGUGUGAGAGUGGAAAGUUCACACUGUGACGGUAACUUACCAGAAAGGGACGGCUAACUACGUGCCAGCAGCCGCGGUAAUACGUAGGUCCCGAGCGUUAUCCGGAUUUAUUGGGCGUAAAGCGAGCGCAGGCGGUUAGAUCAGUCUGAAGUUAAAGGCUGUGGCUUAACCAUAGUACGCUUUGGAAACUGUUUAACUUGAGUGCAGAAGGGGAGAGUGGAAUUCCAUGUGUAGCGGUGAAAUGCGUAGAUAUAUGGAGGAACACCGGUGGCGAAAGCGGCUCUCUGGUCUGUAACUGACGCUGAGGCUCGAAAGCGUGGGGAGCAAACAGG
rnacentral:rRNA from 1 species